UACGUAGGGGCGAGCGUUGUCCGGAAUUAUUGGGCGUAAAGAGCGUGUAGGCGGUUCGGUAAGUCCGCCGUGAAAUCCGAGGCUCAACCUCGGGCUUGCGGUGGAUACUGUCGGGCUAGAGGAUGGUAGAGGGGAGUGGAAUUCCCGGUGUAGUGGUGAAAUGCGUAGAUAUCGGGAGGAACACCAGUGGCGAAGGCGACUUCCUGGCCUGUUCUUGACGCUGAGGCGCGAAAGCUGGGGGAGCAAAC
rnacentral:rRNA from 1 species